rnacentral:lncRNA from 1 species
CCCCAAGGAGAAAAAAAAAAAAAAAAGAGGCCCGGCUUUUUUAGAGCAAGACAAAUCCAGAGAGAUGAAGUGACUGACCCAAGGUUACACAGAAUGGAAUCUAUAUCUUCUGAUUUCUCUACUGGCCUGCACUCCAAGUUCUGAGGAGCAGUCCUUGAAGCUGCUGAGAUAAUGGAACAAUGGCGUAGAUAGUCCAUUAUAACUCAUCUGUGAUUCUUCUCAAGUUCAAGUGACCACAGAAAAAAGGUUGUCCUGCCCCAUUCUGUCCCUUAUGCUGUACCCAUGGUAACCGCAUCAGCCUGAGAAGAUUGUAAUGUUACUUCUCUGCUUGAGAUGUUAGGGGACUAGAGAUGGCUCAGCAGUUAAGAGCUUUGGCUGUGGCUUGGGAGAAAACAAGGCUUGAAGAGGAGCAGGCGAGGCUGAGUCAGUGACUCCAGAGGCUGCAGAAUUGUUAAGAGUGCCUGCUUGUCUUUGAGAGGACCAGAGUUCAAUUCCCAACACCCGGAAGCUCCAGGGAAUUCAACACUUUCUUCUUGACCUCCUCAAGCACCCCUACAUACAGCUUAUAAACACACAGGGAAAGUAAAGGGGAUCUUAAACACA